rnacentral:rRNA from 1 species
AACGAACGCUGGCGGCAUGCCUAACACAUGCAAGUCGAACGAGACCUUCGGGUCUAGUGGCGCACGGGUGCGUAACGCGUGGGAAUCUGCCCUUGGGUUUGGAAUAACAGCGAGAAAUUGCUGCUAAUACCGGAUGAUGACGUAAGUCCAAAGAUUUAUCGCCCAAGGAUGAGCCCGCGUAGGAUUAGCUAGUUGGUGAGGUAAAGGCUCACCAAGGCGACGAUCCUUAGCUGGUCUGAGAGGAUGAUCAGCCACACUGGGACUGAGACACGGCCCAGACUCCUACGGGAGGCAGCAGUGGGGAAUAUUGGACAAUGGGCGAAAGCCUGAUCCAGCAAUGCCGCGUGAGUGAUGAAGGCCUUAGGGUUGUAAAGCUCUUUUACCCGGGAUGAUAAUGACAGUACCGGGAGAAUAAGCUCCGGCUAACUCCGUGCCAGCAGCCGCGGUAAU